AAAGGUAUCAAGCUAUGAAACAGAAUUCUGUUUACUAAGCUCAAGAUGAAGGGACAGAACCAUAGACAGAAGAUAAUAUUAGGACAUGUUCAUGGCUGAAAAUAGACGGUUGUAGAAGAAAGCUAGAACGAAACAAAUAGAGAUGCCUGCUGCUCUCUUUCUUUUUUCUUUUCAUGUCAUCCCUUCGCUGAGGAGCAACGGCGUCGCUGAGUUGUCUACAGAAUGGAGCUGGGCUUAGUGCUAGAACCGGUAGAAACAGCCAGAGCAGAAAGAAGUAAAUUGAAGACCGGGCAAGCAUUAGCCUUGAGAAGCACCCAGCUCUCUGCCGAGCCACAGGCAUGCUCCUAGACUUUUCAUCUCAUCACGUGACGGCGUUUUAGUGUCUUCAAGAAGCUUUGGCGGUGUUUAGACGGUGAGAGAGAUAGGCCUGGGAUGGAUCCCAGUGGAUACACACAGGGUUGCAUCCAGGACGAGGCUUGCUGUCAUCUUUGCCUCCCAGCAUCACACUCCAAGGGAAGGCCAGAGUCUGCUGCUUUGCUGGGUGACCCCUCCUCUGACCUCCUCUGAAGGGCAUUGCAGGUGACAGCACCAACGUGUUGGU